AGAGAGGGUCCUUAGUGGGAAUACGAGAUCUGUACUGGAGGUCCUACAGAGGGAGGGGGGGAGGAAGAGAGAGAGAGGGUCCUUAGUGGGAAUACGAGAUCUGUACUGGAGGUCCUACAGAGGGAGGGGGGGAGGAAGAGAGAGAGAGGGUCCUUAGUGGGAAUACGAGAUCUGUACUGGAGGUCCUACAGAGGGAGGGGGGGAGGAAGAGAGAGAGAGGGUCCUUAGUGGGAAUACGAGAUCUGUACUGGAGGUCCUACAGAGGGAGGGGGGGAGGAAGAGAGAGAGAGGGUCCUUAGUGGGAAUACGAGAUCUGUACUGGAGGUCCUACAGAGG